UCUCAUUUUCUCGCGCGAUCCCAGGCAGCUCCGGCUUCGCGGCCAGCCCGCGCGCGGCGGCGUGGUGCUAGUGGUAAAGCCCGCCGUCGGCGCCGUCCAAGUCCAGCAACACGGAGGUGAGGUGAGGCGGUGCUGCAGAGGGAGGGGACGAAGGCCAUGAAGGAGCUGGCGACCUGAGUGACCUGACCACGAACGGCGGCGGCGGCGGCGGCGGCUACUACGCCGGCGUUGACUCGACAAGGCGAUAACCCAGGAGGCCACGACGUCGAGCAGACUUAUCAGAGCAUGCCGGCUCCUGAUUAUAUUUGCAUACCAUCUGUCCAUCUCCCAACUGAAUGAGCACCAGCGUAACAGAGAUUUUCAGAAGAUAUGAGGAACCAGAGGCGGGAUUGUGAUCAAUGGCAACUGGUGGCUGAGCCGUGAAGAUUAGCUUGCUAGGAUACAGUACAACACGUGGUUUAAAAUAAAGAAGGGCAUCUAUUUCAAAAAAGAUAGAAGAAGGAAGGCGGUCAGAAGGGCAUAUUAUUGCAGGCUUUUGACGAAAGAUAGGAAUAAGUGCGAAGCUUUCCAAUUAUUGAGCUAAAUUUUGGAACAACUUCAUCUUUAUCCAAAUGAAAUUACGAGAUCAAGGUGCCUUUUGUGUAAAUAUAUCAGGGAAGGAAUUAAGCAUGAUACUACUGCCUUGUCA